rnacentral:rRNA from 1 species
GACGAACGCUGGCGGCGUGCUUAACACAUGCAAGUCGAGCGAGGCCCCUCCUUCGGGAGGGUGUCCUAGCGGCGAACGGGUGAGUAACACGUGGGCAACCUGCCCUCAGCUCUGGGAUAACUCCGGGAAACCGGGGCUAAUACCGGAUACGACCUCCACGGGCAUCUGCGGAGGUGGAAAGUUUUUCGGCUGAGGAUGGGCCCGCGGCCUAUCAGCUAGUUGGUGGGGUAGUGGCCCACCAAGGCGACGACGGGUAGCCGGCCUGAGAGGGCGACCGGCCACACGGGGACUGAGACACGGCCCAGACUCCUACGGGAGGCAGCAGUGGGGAAUAUUGCGCAAUGGGCGAAAGCCUGACGCAGCGACGCCGCGUGAGGGACGAAGGCCUUCGGGUUGUAAACCUCUUUCAGCAGGGACGAAGCGAAAGUGACGGUACCUGCAGAAGAAGCACCGGCCAACUACGUG